rnacentral:rRNA from 1 species
UACGAAGGGGGCUAGCGUUGCUCGGAAUUACUGGGCGUAAAGCGCACGUAGGCGGUCUUUUAAGUCAGGGGUGAAAUCCUGGAGCUCAACUCCAGAACUGCCUUUGAUACUGAAGAUCUUGAGUCCGGGAGAGGUGAGUGGAACUGCGAGUGUAGAGGUGAAAUUCGUAGAUAUUCGCAAGAACACCAGUGGCGAAGGCGGCUCACUGGCCCGGUACUGACGCUGAGGCACGAAAGCGUGGGGAGCAAACAGG